UUUAUGCCCAAGUGGCACAAGUGCAUAAAACAAAAAUGAUACUUAUAUUGAUGUAGGCUGAUGCAGUGAUGAAGAUGAGAUGCCGAAGGCGACCGGCAGCCUUGUUUCCGACUGUAGGCCCGGAGAGACUUCAUGCAUGCAGGUUCACGUGAGCAUACAGAUAAAAUAUUUUGUUGAUUGAGACCCAAGCAGCGCUGACGCGACAGCUCGGAAAGCACCAGCGUUGCCAAGUCCGCAGUUUUUCCGCGGAAUUGGGCUAUUUUAACACUGUUGCUGCAGGUUGCUUUUCAUGUCUGCGGGUUGAAGCGACCCCAAUAAUUUGAUAUUUAGUGCCUGGAAUGCAAAUUUUACCGGGGAACCCCCCUCUAAACGCGAUUGGGCUAGUUUUGAGUAGCAAUUGCGGUUUUGAGAAAACCUGGCAACACUGGAAAGCGCUCGGAACUCCGCCAAUGUUUCACAUCCUCUGCCGAGAAUACUCCAAAGCCUGUAUAUCAUCCAACACUACCAAAUGAAUGCAAACAUUCACCGCGACACCAGAGCAAUGCCAACGAUCUAGUGUACAUCUUGAGAGGAAUGUCAAACUCGCAACAGUUUGCAGGAGAUGAACUUAACUAUAUGCAAGCAACCCAGGGAAAGUCAGGCAAUAAGUCAAGUGACAGUUUGAGCAAGAAACAUUGCGGCAGUAUCUGCAAACACAAUGAAGGAAAAGAUGAAAAGAUUCACAUGCCGCAUGAACUGAGGCGAAUACAGUGAUCACAGUGAGUACAAAUGUUUUUGCAUGUGGACCUGAGGCUGACUUGCUACGCCACUGAUUUGACAUAUUAAGUAUGACACAAAUGCAUGGAUUGCUGAAUGACCUUUAUAAAUGAUUCUGACACAUUUGAAGGAAGCAUGAUGUCCGUUCCUCUUCAUAGCAGCAUGUUUUAGGGUGUAGCUGCUGACUCACAGGGCAAAGGAGGGGGUAAAGGCUUGUGUCGUCUCCACCCGCCUGCACUUGUACUUUCAGAUUUUAAGACAGCUAUGUCCAACUUCGGCGCCAGUCUCUUCGGAGGUGCUCAUUUUUUCUCUGUGCCCCAUUUCAGCUGGAUCAGCACAUUCUCGGCAUCUCUUUCAUAAAAGUUUGUGUGUCCCAUGGAGAAAUCCAAAAACAAAUCCAAAAGCUGCUCAACUGAACAAUUGAAUGAGUCUGUGAAAUAUAUUUAAAAAAGCCACAUGGCUGUAUGUUUCUGGUAAGUUUAGAGUCAGUUCUGGGAAGGUCAGCAUUCUGUCUUUAAAUUUUAUAAUUUAGUUUUAAAUUAAAAUUUUGUCUUUUUUCUCAAUUAAGUGUGUGCCUGACAACUGCAUUUAAGUACUAAUUCUGUGAGCCCUUAAUGAAAAUACCCCAAAAUUAAUAAAUGAAUUGUCCCAUAUUACAUCUUGUUUUAAAUUUAAUUCAUAAAAUAACAUACUUAA
ensembl:lncRNA